AUGGACUACUACUUGUCAUGGAGAUGUCUAUUGCUGGUCCUCUGCACUCUGAACUCCAUGUUUCUGAGUUGUUCGGGCUGCUUCUUGGAGCAGAGAGCGUCCCUCAUGGAUAUUAGCUCUCGCCUCAUAAUCUUUGGGCAUGACUAUGAGAAUCAGAUGCACAGUUCUUGGGGAGUCGGUGAUGACUGCUGUUCGUGGAAAGGGAUCACAUGCGACAAUAGCACAGGGCUAAUAUCGCAUCUCGACCUUUCCCCAAUCGACCAAGAUAUGGACCAUAUGGAAGAAAUGGAAGGUGAAUGCAUCUGGCACCUUAGCUUGACGAUCUUUUCUUUAUUUCCAGAGCUUCAGCUACUAAAUAUCUCAGGACUGUUCGCUUGUUUACAUAAUUUUGAGGGUCUCCAAGGAUUGAGUAAGCUCAAGUAUCUCGACCUCAGUUUCAACAGUUUACUAGGGGGCAUCCCAGGAUCUGUUGGUAAGCUGGUUUCUCUAGAAGUCAUAAAUCUCAAUGGAAACGUCAUGGGUGGGACUCUUCAUAGUACAGGUCUCAGAAAUCUCCAUAACCUGCGUGAAUUGCAUUUGGGAUCCAAUGAAUUGAGUGGUAGCCUCCCAGCAUCCUUAUUUGCACUUCCACGCCUUGAGUACUUGGAUCUUUCAGACAACCUCUUGCAUGGACAUAUACCUAUAAAUUCAUCUUGGAACCUGCGAGAAUUGCGUCUGAGAUCCAAUAAAUUGAGUGGUAGCAUCCCAGCAUCAGUGUUUGCACUUCCAUGCCUGGAGUACUUGGAUCUUUCAGACAACCUCUUGCAAGGAUAUGUACCCAUAAACUCAUCUUCAAAGUGUUCCUCAUUGCUUCAAACUAUCAGGUUAUCCAAAAACAAGCUAAGCGGUAAAUUUUCUUUUUUCUGGUUAAGAAACUGUGUGAAGCUCAAACAGAUAGAUCUGUCCCGGAAUACUGAUUUGGUCGUUCAAGUGGAACUGCAUGGUUGGGUACCAAAAUUUCAAUUGAAUACACUAAGGCUCUCUUGGUGUAACCUUGAUAAGAGCAUGAUUACUGAGCCAAAUUUCCUCCGCACACAGCAUCAUCUACGUUUUCUCGAUUUGUCCAACAAUAAUUUGCCGGGAAACAUGCCUGACUGGUUGUUCACAAAUGAAGCCACACUGGUUUACCUGAAUCUUGCAAACAACUCACUAGUUGGAUCGCUAGAUCGGGUAUGGCAACACCAAACUUACCUUAAACAAGUUAACAUAUCUCUGAACCUAGUUGAAGGACAGCUGCCAGCCAACAUCAGUUUGAUGUUUCCUAAUCUUACAAUUCUUGAUGUUUCCCACAAUAUUAUAUCUGGAACGAUACCACCAUCGCUCUGCAACAGCAGCAUACAACUUAUGGACCUAUCAAAUAACAGAUUUACAGGAGAAGUGCCAUCCUGCUUGUUCACUGAUUUUUACGCACUGAAUGUAUUGAAGCUCUCAAACAAUAGUCUCGGGGGUAAGAUACUUGAUGGGGUUAGUAGCUUCUCUGGUCACCUGUGGGCAAUAUACCUCGACAACAACAAAUUUGAAGGAACUCUCCCUAGAAAUCUGUCUGGUGAUAUAGCCCUCAUGGAUUUACAUGGUAACAAGAUGUCAGGAGAACUGAGCACUUCAUUAUGGUUUCUUCCUUCACUGGAAGCUUUGAGCCUUUCUUGUAAUGGUUUAACUGGUGCCAUUCAUCCAGGAAUUUGCACAUUAACAAAACUUCGGAUAUUAGAUCUGUCAGAAAACUACUUUACGGGGCAUAUUCCAAACUGCAGCACUGUAUUACCUCUCGAGUUUCUGAGUGUAUCUGGGAAUUCACUGUCAGGCUUCCCGAGUGCGUUUUUCUUCAGCUCGUCCAUUACAGCUCUGGAUCUCAGCCAUAAUCAGUUCACAGGCAACCUUGAGUGGGCACAAUAUCUUUCUCAAAUCAGUGUACUUUUGUUAAGCAGGAACAAGUUUGUGGGACAGAUCUCUUCAAAUCUGUGUCGUCUCCAACGCUUGAGUAUAAUUGACAUCUCCCACAACAUACUUUCGGGUUCCAUACCACCAUGUAUUGGUGGCAUUGCACUUGAAGACCCUGAUGAUUACGAGUACGGUUGGCCCUCAAUUGGGAUAACUUACUCUACAGGAGAUUAUGCCGUGGGCAUGUACAGCAGUCAUUAUGAACCCCAAGGCUUCACCUUCACGACUAAAGGGAACUCAUACACAUAUGGACAAAACUUCUUCAUGUGGAUGUCUGGCAUUGACUUCUCUUCGAACAUGCUAUCAGGUGAUAUUCCGAAGGAGAUGGGGAAUUUGAGCCAUAUAAAGUCUCUCAAUUUGUCAAACAAUUUCUUGACCGGACUGAUUCCUACAACCUUCGGUAACAUGAGUGAAAUCGAAAGCUUAGACCUUUCAGGAAACAAGCUGGAUGGAACCAUACCAUGGCAGUUAACUCGGUUAUCAUCAUUGGAAGUGUUCUCUGUGGCGUACAACAACUUAUCUGGAUGUCUACCAGCCACUGGUCAGCUCGGCACAUUUGAUGUGGACAGUUACAGAGGGAACGGCAACCUUAGGUCAUGCACUUCCAGUUCAUAUCCCGUUGCACGGAAUGGCACGGGAGGAAAUGCGCGUGGCGAUUCUGAUCCGAUCAUCUACGUGGUCACUGCUGUUUCAUUCGUCUUGGCGUUUUGGGCCACUAUCACAUUCGUAUUCUGCCAUCCAUUUGGGCAGCGUGUUAUUCUGAAACUGUAA
rnacentral:rRNA from 1 species